UUGGAGGGCAAGUCUGGUGCCAGCAGCCGCGGUAAUUCCAGCUCCAAUAGCGUAUAUUAAAGUUGUUGCAGUUAAAAAGCUCGUAGUUGAAUUUCGGGACCAAUAUGUCGGUCGUGCUUCGGUACGUACUUGCAUUAUUGGUUUCUCCCUUCUGAGGAACCAUGAUGUCAUUAAUUUGGUGUCGUGGGAAAUCAGGACUGUUACUUUGAAAAAAUUAGAGUGUUUAAAGCAGGCUCGCGCUUGAAUACAUUAGCAUGGAAUAAUGAAAUAGGACGUUUGAUUCUAUUUUGUUGGUUUCUAGGAUCGACGUAAUGAUUAAUAGGGAUAGUUGGGGGCGUUAGUAUUCAAUUGUCAGAGGUGAAAUUCUUGGAUUUAUUGAAGACUAACUACUGCGAAAGCAUUUGCCAAGGAUGUUUUCAUUAAUCAAGAACGAAAGUUAGGGGAUCGAAGACGAUCAGAUACCGUCGUAGUCUUAACCAUAAACUAUGCCGACUAGGGAUCGGAUGAUGUUAUUUUUGAUGACUCAUUCGGCGCCUUACGGGAAAC
rnacentral:rRNA from 1 species